rnacentral:rRNA from 1 species
AACCUGGUUGAUCCUGCCAGUAGUCAUAUGCUUGUCUUAAAGAUUAAGCCAUGCAUGUCUAAGUAUAAAUAGUAUACAGUGAAACUGCGAAUGGCUCAUUAAAACAGUUAUAGUUUAUUUGAUAAUUGAAUUAUACAUAGAUAACCGUGGUAAUUCUAGAGCUAAUACAUGCAGUAAAACCUGACUUUUUGGAAAGGUUGUAUUUAUUAGAUAUCAAACCAAUAUUCCUUCGGGUCUAUUGUGAUGAUUCAUAAUAACUGAUCGAAGCUUAGCUAGGCUAAGCUAAAUCAUUCAAGUUUCUGCCCUAUCAGCUUUCGAUGGUAGUGUAUUGGACUACCAUGGCAGUCACGGGUAACGGGGAAUUAGGGUUCGAUUCCGGAGAGGGAGCCUGAGAAACGGCUACCACAUCUAAGGAAGGCAGCAGGCGCGUAAAUUACCCAAUCCUGACUCAGGGAGGUAGUGACAAGAAAUAACAACUCGGGGCCUCACGGCUUACGAGAUUGCAAUGAGAACAAUUUAAACCACUUAUCUAGGAACAAUUGGAGGGCAAGUCUGGUGCCAGCAGCCGCGGUAAUUCCAGCUCCAAUAGC